AAAUGAAUAGACGGGCACCCGCACAAGCGGUGGAGCAUGCUGUUUAAUUCGAAGAUACGCGAAGAACCUUACCUAGAUUUGACAUCCCGGGCAAUGGCUUAGAAAUAAGUCGGAGGCUAUCCCGGUGACAGAUGGUGCAUGGUUGUCGUCAGCUCGUGUCGUGAGAUGUUUGGUUAAGUCCAACAACGAGCGCAACCCUUAUCUUUAGUUGCUAACAUUUAGUUGAGUUCUCUAGAGAUACUGCCGAUGUAAGUCGGAGGAAGGUGGGGAUGAGGUCAAAUCAUCAUGCCUCUUACAUCUAGGGCUACAGGCGUGCUACAAUGGCCGAUACAACGAGUCGCAACAUAGUGAUAUGAAGCAAAUCUCUUAAAGUCGGUCUCAGUUCGGAUUGGAGUCUGCAACUCGACUCCAUGAAGUUGGAAUCGCUAGUAAUCCCGAAUCAGAAUGUCGGGGUGAAUACGUUCUCGGGUGUUGUACACACCGCCCGU
rnacentral:rRNA from 1 species